rnacentral:lncRNA from 1 species
UCGUGUUAAGUUGUACUUAUUGGGGAUAGCAAGAAGUGAGAUUGUUAUCCCCUCAUUUGGUUACUGAAGUUGGUCCCGAAUUCUAAUCACAACAUUACUAAUAAAUAAGAUCAUAUUACUCAUUACUUCCCUUUCUAAAAAUUGCAUUCCUAUCAAUAUUUACCUCACUACAUUCCAACAGCAUUAUAAUCUUCCAUCCACAGUCUCCUCACGCUAUUAUAAUCUUUCCUUAUCUCGGCCACCAAACAAAGGACUUUUUACGAUUAUGAGAUGCAUCAUUUUGAAAUUCCAAGAAAGAGGUAUUUGCUGAAGCUUUUGCAUUAUUUGUUUGCUGGUCAUCUUCCUUUCCAUGCAUUACAUUGAGAUUACAAGAAAGAGGUAUUUGCUGAAGAAGCUUUUACUUUAUUUGUUUGCUGGUCAUCUUCCUUUCCAUGCGUUACAUUGAAUUCAUUUGUAUUUGUUAGCUGCAUUGUUUUCCGUUUUUAUACUUAUUUCUGAUCUUUAUUCGCAUUUAAAACAACAACAACAAAACACCCAGUUUGAUCCCAACAAGUGGGGUCUGGGGAAGGUAAUCUGUACGCACACCUUACCCCUACCUAAUGUAGGUAGAGAGGCUAUUUCCAACAGACUCUCGGCUCAGGAAGGGCGAGAAUAAGAAGAGUAAAGCAAGGGAGGAAGAAAGAUGGAAAAUAAAUUAAAAAGGGAGAGAUAAAAGGAUAAAUGGAAUUGAGAACAGUCCAUUCCAAGCGCAAGAGGUAGGAACACAAUCAAACUGCAAGUUCAACGGCGACUGCAAUUUUCUACACAUUCAGAACACGAUCGAUGUAUACCAGUAGAAGCAGACACAGUGACGACUGAAAAGGAGCAGAUAUCCAAUCGAACCCCCAAAGAGGUAAUGCCC